CCUACGGGUGGCAGCAGUGAGGAAUAUUGGUCAAUGGACGCAAGUCUGAACCAGCCAUGCCGCGUGCAGGAAGACGGCUCUAUGAGUUGUAAACUGCUUUUGUACGAGGGUAAACGCAGAUACGCGUAUCUGUCUGAAAGUAUCGUACGAAUAAGGAUCGGCUAACUCCGUGCCAGCAGCCGCGGUAAUACGGAGGAUUCAAGCGUUAUCCGGAUUUAUUGGGUUUAAAGGGUGCGUAGGCGGUCGGAUAAGUUAGAGGUGAAAUCCCGCGGCUCAACUUCGGAAUUGCCUCUGAUACUGUGCAGCUAGAGUGUAGGUGAGGUAGGCGGAAUGUAUGGUGUAGCGGUGAAAUGCUUAGAGAUCAUACAGAACACCGAGUGCGAAGGCAGCUUACCAAGCUACUUCUGACGUUGAGGCACGAAAGCGUGGGUAGCAAACAGGAUUAGAUACCCCUGUAGUC
rnacentral:rRNA from 1 species